CCAGUUCCCUCGUGGGAGGACGGCCCGUCCUGGGCAGAGGCCGCGGGGCAGUGCGGUCCGAGGGCCUGGAGAAGGAAUCCAGAUGUGCCGCUCACCCGGCAAAGUUGUCGCUUGUCUGAGCUCGGUUCCCGGGGUGGCGUUGAGAAGCCACGCGCUCAGCGCUGGCGCCCCUGCUGUUCCGUGCCCAGGCCUCGGGACGGCCAAGUCCGAUCUCCGCGCCCUUCCCUUCCCGGAGGAGGACAGCCCUCGGCCCUCCCCCCAUGGCCCGGGAAGCCAGCCUGGGUGGUCUCCUGAGGGAUGGAAGGUUCAGGGCUCCGAAACGGGAGGGGGAAGCUUUCUGUCCACCGGUGGAUGCCUGGGCCCCGGGCAAGACGAACGCCAGAGGCGGGAACAGUGCCCUCCGUGGAGGUGAUGGGGCCACCCAAGAGGAAGCACCUGGCUUCCCUCUCCCUCGCUCUCCCCUGUGCUCCCUCCUUUGCUCAAGCACUCGGCAGGCGUCCACGCAGCUUCCCCUCCUCGCGGGCACUGCGGGCACCGCGCUAGGCGUGGGGCAGAGCCGCGGAGGGCUCGCCGCUGUGGGAUGGCAAGGCCUGGUGGGAAAGUCCGCCCAAGAGCUGAGGACAGGGUGCCAGGAGCCAGGGGAGGGUCACGUCAGCAGCAGGACUGGGCCCCGCGCUCCCAUGGCCCACGCCUUCGCCCCCGCGGGCCCAUCUGCUUCUUUGUUUUUGGAGUUUUUAUUUCUGGGUUUGUUUUCCCAAUAGAGAGCCUUUGGAAAGAUGCCACCCUUGUUUCAGUUGGACUAGGGAAAAGAAGAAUUGUCUGCUCUGGGGCCAGGCUGGCGGGGGGGUGCCAGGUUCCCCGAGCGCCCAGGUGUGCCCGGUGGAGGAGCCGGGGGCGGUCAGGGCGGGGGGUGGGGGUGCCCUGGAAGAGCAUGGGGCACCCGGGCUGGGAACGGGGACAAGCAGAAGCCAGGCUGGCUCUCGUGGCUCCGUGGCUGUGUGUCCCCAGACCUCCCCUCGUGACCCCCAUCCCGUGACGGCAGGGAGAAGUUAAGACCCCCUUUCACCUCAGGGAGCCCCAUGAGCCCUGGUUCCGUCCUCUCGCCCACACCCCGCCUCUGGGGUGCUCUACGAGGCUGGGACCCAGAGUCCGAAGGGAGCCUGCAAUACCAUUCCAGCUUGGGAGGGCUCUGCGUGGGAGACCCCUGGGGCCGCCCCCCCCCCCCCGACUCUCCUGCUAUUCCCCUCUUCCUGGUCCUCACCCAUUCAUCCAACACAUAUUUACUGAGCACCCACUAUGUGCCAGGAGCUCGCUGGAGAUGACGCUGGUGGGAAAGUUCUUUCAAAAGGGUUGUAGAAGCACCAGGUGCAUGUGCGUGUGCGUGUGCGUGCGUUCAUGCACGUGUGCGUGUGAAUAUGUACGUGCAGGUUCGGGAAGCAGGAAGAAGAAGAAUGUUCCAGAGUCAAACAGGCUGCAUUUGAAUCUCGGUGCUGCCCCUUAGCCAGGUGACCUCGGGUCACUUACGUAACUCCUCGGGCCUCCUCUCCCAUCUGCAAAACAGGUCUCGGGAGCACUCGGCCCACGGGGUGCUUGCUGUGGGGACUGAGCGAGUGCGCCGUGUUUAGCGUGGAGCCCACAGAAAGCAGGUGCACAGGAAGUGUCAGCAACAAGGGGUGCCUCCUCCUGGCCCCGCUCAGGGCUGGCUGCGCACAAACUCGCCAAUGACCCGUUCUUCCAAUCUGGCCCUUGCUCAAGCUCCGUGACUCAGAGGCAGCCACCUGGCCCUAACCACCUCCUGUCCCCUGAGGCUCAUCUAUACGACGCAGCCCACAAACCUCUGUUUAGCAAACCACCGCCCGCGUCUGUCCUUGUGGGGGCUGCCUCGGCUCUGGGCUACCCUCUGCAUGGGUGUCCGUGCCCUCAGCUGGCUGUGAGAGCAGGGGAGGGACAGGAGGGGCUCUGGGGUGGUGCCCAGGCCCCCAGCACUCUGGGACUGGGGAGCCAGGGACUUGUCAGGGAGGGAGGGUCAGGGGAUUCCAGCUCAGAGGGAUCUGUCCUUGGCAUUCCGGAGUGGGUGGCAGCUGGCGCCAAUCCUGGGCACGUAGAAAUGGCAGGGCCUCCCUGGGAGUUAGGGCCAGGUCCUGCUGAGGCCAGCAGCGGCGUGGGGGCUCCUCUGUUCUCCAACAGCUGUCCGAAGAGGGUUUGAGAAGUGGGGAAGGAGUGUGGGCUCGGCCAGGACCAGAGGAGGGCCCGGGAAGCAGACACGCGCGCACACACACACACACACACACACCCCGAGUCCAGCACAAGGGUGCAGUGCCUGCUGGCGAGGAUGGAGGGAGGGAGUCUGGCCCGCCUGUGUGUGGGUGCGGGAGGCAGCUCUGCGGCUCUACGAGAAGGCGAGGGCGCCCGUAGGGACCAGGGAUGUGUGUUGCCCUGCAGGUGUUGGCUCUGCCUCUGUCCUGCCUCUUGGCCUGAGCCUCUCCCCAGGUCAGCAGAGAGGAUGCUCCCGUUGGGGAGGGUGGGAAACUACGGCUCAUCGAGCGGUGUGGGUCAAGGCCUUACAAACACGCAGGAUCACAGGACGUUCUUCUACGUGACCCUCAGCUCCACCGAGCUGGGAUUUAUACACAUUCAAGGGGGAGAGCUCUGAGUACUGCGUGUGCGUGUGUGUGAGCACGGGCGUGGCACUUCUGUGUCCGAUGUCGGGGGUGGGGGGCACGUGCGUCGUGUCUGAUGUGUCUGUCACCCUCUUCAAGGCCUGUGUCCAUCGCGGGGUCCACGCCGGGGCGUGCUGGGUCCCCUUUGCCUUCAAGAAGCCACGUAGCAGGGCAGGAGCACAGGCUCCUCCAGGCCCAGCCGAUCACAGGCUCAGAUCCGAGUUGGGAUCCAAUCCGUGUACCUUGGACAUGCUCCGAAGCUUCGGUCCACCUCAGUUUCUUCCUGGGGAAAGCAAUAGCAUGAACCACACCAGGUGCUGGCCAGGCUUAAAUGAGACUAAAAUACACACCUGACACAGGUGAGAACACGUUAACGGUCCCGUCCUGGUGCCCCUCGCAGAACCGUGUCAUCACAAUCGUGACCGUCACGUGUGACACCUCCAUCAGAUGGUGUCCCAUAAAUGGCAUCUACUGGGAUGAUGAUGAACGGCAACAUCUCCCGUCUCUCAAGCAUCAGGAGCAAGAUGCAGAGAGAGAGAGAGGCAGAGACACAGGCAGAGGGAGAAGCAAGCUCCACGCAGGGAGCCCGACGCGGGACUUGAUCCUGAGACUUCCAGGAUCCCGGCCUGGGCUGCAGGUGGUGCUAAACCCCUGAGCCACCCGGGCUGCCCAGGAAGCACUUUUAAUAAGCAUUCAAAAAGCGUGAACAAACCCCCAGCAUACCUUAUCUCCCAUUCUGUGUUAUCCUGCGCCAAGAACCUCGCGUACAUGAUCUCAAUGAACGUCACAAAAACCCUCGGGGUGGAUGUCAUCGACCAGAGAGCAGGUCGCAGGGAGUCAGCCAACCUGACGGGAUCCCCAACCAGGAGGGGCUGGCGCCCAGGCGGCGCCCUCCCCUGGCCCGCUCCCUCUGGGUCUGCCCCGCGGGUGGCAGCCUGGUUUCUGGGAGCUCCGGGUCCCGCCCAGCCCCACUCGAGCCCCACUCCAGCCGGGCUGCGGCCAGGCCUAGCGGCCCAGAGCAAACGACUGGGUCUAAGCGCGAGGCCAGUCACCUGACCCACCCGAGGCCCUGCACCCUGCUCUCCGGGGAAGGCCGGCAGGUGCACGGGGUGCGGGGCGGGGUUGGGGUUUGGCCGAGCCCAGGUGCCGCUCCCCCCCACCGCGUAGGCCGGG